rnacentral:rRNA from 1 species
AACGAACGCUGGCGGCGUGGAUUAGGCAUGCAAGUCGAACGCGAAAGAGGGAGCAAUCCCUCAAGUAGAGUGGCGAACGGGUGAGUAACGCGUGAAGAACCUGCCUUCAACAGGGGGAGUAACACUCCCAACCGGGGUGGCUAAUACCGCAUGAGACCACGGGUCCGCAUGGACCUGAGGUCAAAGGUGGCCUCUGCUUGCAAGCUACCGGUUGAAGAUGGCUUCGCGUCCCA